UUGUGCACCUCUGUAACCAAGAUGAGAUGUACGAGGAAGCUUGAUACGCAGAUGAUGAGGACGAAGAUCUCGUGUCUCACUGGUGCACGAAACAACUUCGGAAACAAAUCACUCACUGUGCCAGUAGAAUAAGCAUCAGGAAGAAGCAGACAGUCCAGAACUGUGGCAAAGGCAUCAAGGCUGUUGCCUGAGGGUGACUGACCUUUCCAGAAGAUCUGACGCCUUUCCAGAUACUGAAGUAGCAGAACACCCAGCAGGCCAGGAGACACAAAGCCAGCUCCCAUCUCACACUGCCCAGCUCCUCGAUGCCUCCAGACACGCCCAGCACCCGUCGUCUGAGGAGGGUGUUAAGCACAGUUCAUAGCUUCUUGUUUUCUUCUGAAAAUACUCAUCUCUUGUCUCGUUUUCAGAU